rnacentral:misc_RNA from 1 species
GAUGAAGAACGCAGCGAAAUGCGAUAAGUAAUGUGAAUUUCAGAAUUCAGUGAAUCAUCGAAUCUUUGAACGCACAUUGCGCCCGCCAGUAUUCUGGCGGGCAUGCCUGUUCGAGCGUCAUUACAACCCUCAGGCCCCCGGGCCUGGCGUUGGGGAUCGGCGGAGCCCCCCGUGGGCACACGCCGUCCCCCAAAUACAGUGGCGGUCCCGCCGCAGCUUCCAUCGCGUAGUAGCUAACACCUCGCGACUGGAGAGCGGCGCGGCCACGCCGUAAAACACCCAACUCUUCUGAAGUUGACCUCGAAUCAGGUAGGAAUACCCGCUGAACUUAAGCAUAUCAAUAAGCGGAGGA